rnacentral:rRNA from 1 species
AGCGAACGUUAGCGGCGGGCUUAACACAUGCAAGUCGAGCGAGAAAGCGUCCUUCGGGGCGUUAGUAAAGCGGCGCACGGGUGAGUAACACGUGGAUAACCUACCCUUCGGCGGGGGACAACAGCUCGAAAGGGCUGCUAAUACCGCAUACGUCGGUGACGGCUUCGGCUGUUACCGGGAAAGGUGGCCUCGCAAGGGGCUAUCACCGGAGGAGGGGUCCGCGGCCCAUCAGCUUGUUGGUGAGGUAACGGCUCACCAAGGCUCAGACGGGUAGCUGGUCUGAGAGGAUGAUCAGCCCUGGACGACGGACUGAGACACGGCCCAGACUCCUACGGGANGCAGCAGUGGGGAAUAUUGGACAAUGGGCGAAAGCCUGAUCCAGCCACGCCGCGUGUGUGAUGAAGGUCUUCGGAUCGUAAAGCACUGUGGAGA